GUGGGUUGCGUACAAUGAUUAAGUACUCACCAACUCCAAAGAAUUCAGGAAGACUUUUUUAUGGAUGUCUCAACUAUGAAUUUGUAAUUCAUUGUAAUUUCUUUCGUUUGGCUGAUGAAUAUGAAGAACGAGAUGUGAU